rnacentral:rRNA from 1 species
AACGAACGCUGGCGGCAGGCUUAACACAUGCAAGUCGAACGCCCCGCAAGGGGAGUGGCAGACGGGUGAGUAACACGUGGGAACAUGCCCAAAGGUACGGAAUAUUCUCGGGAAACUGGGAGCAAUACCGUACGUGCCCGAAAGGUGAAAGAUUUAUCGCCUUUGGAUUGGCCCGCGUCAGAUUAGGUAGUUGGUGGGGUAAUGGCCUACCAAGCCGACGAGCUGUAGCUGGUCUGAGAGGACGACCAGCCACACUGGGACUGAGACGCGGCCCAGACGCCUACGGGAGGCAGCAGUGGGGAAUCUUGGACAAUGGGCGCAAGCCUGAUCCAGCCAUGCCGCGUGGAUGAUGAAGGCCCUAGGGUUGUAAAAUCCUGUCGUUGGGGACGAUAAUGACGGUACCCAAAGAAGAAGCUCCGGCUAACUUCGUGCCAGCCGCCGCGGUAAUAC